CAGCCGCCGCGGUAAUACGUAGGUGGCAAGCGUUGUCCGGAAUUAUUGGGCGUAAAGCGCGCGCAGGCGGUCCCUUAAGUCUGAUGUGAAAGCCCACGGCUCAACCGUGGAGGGUCAUUGGAAACUGGGGGACUUGAGUGCAGAAGAGGAAAGUGGAAUUCCACGUGUAGCGGUGAAAUGCGUAGAGAUGUGGAGGAACACCAGUGGCGAAGGCGACUUUCUGGUCUGUAACUGACGCUGAGGCGCGAAAGCGUGGGGAGCAAACAGGAUUAGAUACCCUGGUAGUCCACGCCGUAAACGAUGAGUGCUAAGUGUUAGGGGGUUUCCGCCCCUUAGUGCUGCAGCUAACGCAUUAAGCACUCCGCCUGGGGAGUACGGCCGCAAGGCUGAAACUUAAAGGAAUUGGCGG
rnacentral:rRNA from 1 species